UUUUUUGUGCUGAGUUCUCUUUUAAAAUUUGCAAAGUCGUGACUGUUACUAACACAAAGUAUACAUUUCUUUAAAUUCAAUAUCUAUGGAUUUUAAUAUCUU